rnacentral:tRNA from 1 species
GCCUUCGUGGUGUAGUGGUCAGCGCGCUGGGUGCAUAUUCCAGAAGUCUGUGAUUCGAAUCCCGGCGAGGGCA